CUCAUGGUCUGUCUACUCGUCUGUGUUUGGAAGCUUAAACUUCAACCCAAGACUCAGAAACAAACAGACGUGGCUGGUCAAACGUCGCCCAGUCAUACGGAUGAAGAGUUCCUCUAUGAGAACAUGGACGUCUUCAGACCUGGACCUUCCUCCGUCUCGGAGCGGGACCGCAGACGGCAGCAGGGGACGGUGGGGAAGCAGGGCCGCGGGUCAGAGCCUGAACACCUCUCCACUCACGCUGAGAAUUACUAUGUUGAAAUGAAGGAAACCUGAUCUCCCUCUAGAUCUCUGACUGAUGCCACGAGGAACGUAUUUAUGAUUAUAUUCAUCUGUUUUGUGACAAAAUGUGCUAAAUAUGUCAGUUUAUCGCAUAUAAUGACACACGUGAGUUUUUAAAUAUUAUGUUUUACAAAUUUAGCGUUAUCUUCAAAUUCUUUUAAAAACACA